UUGAUCUAAAUUGUUCUAAGUUGGGGCCCUUGUGCUUCAUACCUGAACAUCCAAGAUCAAUUCCCUCCUUGCUUGGACCCUUUUUGCUUAUGUUGAAGAUUUAGGAGCCCAGUAAAAGCUAUCUGUACUUGCUUGGUGGUAUACGGCUGGGAUAAAUUGUAUAAAUUUGCUCAGGUACUAAUCGGAAUAGGCUGGCUACUCCUAG
rnacentral:lncRNA from 1 species